rnacentral:rRNA from 1 species
AGUGAACGCUGGCGGCGUGCCUAAUACAUGCAAGUUGAAGGAAGUGGCGCACGGGUGAGUAAUAUAUAGCUAAUCUGCCCUUUGCUGGAGGACAACAGUUAGAAAUGACUGGUAAUACUCGAUAGCAAGGGAUGAGACUAUAUCGUAUCAGCUAGUCGGUGGGGUAACGGCCUACCGAGGCUAUGACGCGUAACAGGUCUGAGAGGAUGAUCAGUCACAUUGGAACUGAGGCACGGUGCAAACUCCUACGGGAGGCAGCAGUAGGGAAGAUUGCGCAAUGGGCGAAACCCUGACGGAGCAUCGCCUCGUAGAGGAUGACACUUUUCGAAGCAUAAACUCCUUUUAUUAGGGAAGCGGUACCUAACGAAUAAGCACCGGCUAACUCCGUGCCAGCAGCCGCGGUAAUUC